rnacentral:rRNA from 1 species
CACGUAGGGUGCGAGCGUUGUCCGGAAUUAUUGGGCGUAAGGAGCUCGUAGGCGGUGUGUCGCGUCGGCCGUGAAAACCUGCAGCUUAACUGUGGGCUUGCGGUCGAUACGGGCAUCACUGGAGUUCGGCAGGGGAGACUGGAAUUCCUGGUGUAGCGGUGAAAUGCGCAGAUAUCAGGAGGAACACCGAUGGCGAAGGCAGGUCUCUGGGCAUUAACUGACGCUGAGGAGCGAAAGCAUGGGGAGCGAACAGG